GCCCUGCACUCUGGGACAAGCCCUGGAAACGGGGUCUAAUACCGGAUACAACCACUAGGGGCAUCUCUUGGUGGUGGAAAGCUCCGGCGGUGCAGGAUGAGCCCGCGGCCUAUCAGCUAGUUGGUGAGGUAAUGGCUCACCAAGGCGACGACGGGUAGCCGGCCUGAGAGGGCGACCGGCCACACUGGGACUGAGACACGGCCCAGACUCCUACGGGAGGCAGCAGUGGGGAAUAUUGCACAAUGGGCGAAAGCCUGAUGCAGCGACGCCGCGUGAGGGAUGACGGCCUUCGGGUUGUAAACCUCUUUCAGCAGGGAAGAAGCGAAAGUGACGGUACCUGCAGAAGAAGCGCCGGCUAACUACGUGCCAGCAGCCGCGGUAAUACGUAGGGCGCGAGCGUUGUCCGGAAUUAUUGGGCGUAAAGAGCUCGUAGGCGGCUUGUCACGUCGGUUGUGAAAGCCCGGGGCUUAACCCCGGGUCUGCAGUCGAUACGGGCAGGCUAGAGUUCGGUAGGGGAGAUCGGAAUUCCUGGUGUAGCGGUGAAAUGCGCAGAUAUCAGGAGGAACACCGGUGGCGAAGGCGGAUCUCUGGGCCGAUACUGACGCUGAGGAGCGAAAGCGUGGGGAGCGAACAGGAUUAGAUACCCUGGUAGUCC
rnacentral:rRNA from 1 species